rnacentral:rRNA from 1 species
UACAGAGGAUGCAAGCGUUAUCCGGAAUGAUUGGGCGUAAAGCGUCUGUAGGUGGCUUUUUAAGUCCGCCGUCAAAUCCCAGGGCUCAACUCUGGACAGGCGGUGGAAACUACCAAGCUGGAGUACGGUAGGGGCAGAGGGAAUUUCCGGUGGAGCGGUGAAAUGCGUAGAGAUCGGAAAGAACACCGGUGGCGAAAGCACUCUGCUGGGCCGACACUGACACUGAGAGACGAAAGCUAGGGGAGCGAAUGGG